ACUCAUUCUUCUCCUCAGGAAAUACUGAAGGUUUAGACGAUGGUGAACUUGGUAGAUUGGAAACAUUUGCACCAGCAGGCCAAGAAAUUGAACUAACAGCAGCAGGAAGUGAAUUGGGUGCCAGUGAAGUCAGAGUAAAUGCACCUUCGGCUCCUUGAACGGAUUCAAUUACACACUUUAGCUUUGAAAGGGAACGAUUGACCUUAUUUAUCUUGCGAGAUGGCCACCUAGAGAUCCCAUGCUGCCUACAUAUGCGUUUCAUUGUGGUAGGGCAAACCCCAAGACUCUUUGCAGCAUCCUUGAGACUUCCAGCAAAAUACUGCUGCAAAACCUCUAAGCUAAUUGUUUUCUCAGCUUUUCCACGUUUUCUCUCUGAUUUCUUACCAGUCUGUUUAUUUUGGGGGACAGAAGCAUGAUUAUGGGCUUCAGCUGUAACAUUUACACCCUCUGCACCUUUUGCCACAGUGGAGUGCUGCUCUUCCAUUAGAUCAGGAUGUCUCCUUCCAUUUGCUACACUAGCAGACUGAGGAAGAGA
rnacentral:misc_RNA from 1 species